AAUUUUCAUGUUCUCAUUGAAAUGCUGCCACCUGCUGGAGGAACGUUUCCACUUCAUCAAGCUGCUGAACGGAUCCACUUGUAGUUUGUAUCUUAAAAGUAUAAACAUAGAUGAUUCAUUUCAAAAGUUUUGUGUAAAUUGUCACAGUUGUUUACUGUCAUGAGACUGUUACUGUAGAGAAUGGAGUGCAUUUCACAGUUGGACACACUAACUUUUUUUUCUUAAUAUUAUUUCACUUGUGCACCUUAGCAUCACCAAAGAUGGACAAUCACAGUAUAAGUAUAUCUUUUUUUUAAAAGAUAUACAAUUUGGAGAAUUAUUUACAUGUAGCAUCACAGGAUUAUGUUUGUGUCAAAAAUGUCCAAAUACAAACUGUCAAAAAAAGUCAUACUAUAUAAUAUGUCGUCCAAAAUCACCAAAAAAAGUCAUAGUAUAGUAUGUCGUCCAAAAUCAGUCAAAAAAAGUCAUAGUAUAGUAUGUCGUCCAAAAUCACUUAAAAAAAGUCAAUAGUAUAGUAUGUCGUCCAAAAUCAGUCAAAAAAAGUCAUAGUAUAGUAUGUCGUCCAAAAUCAGUCAAAAAAAGUCAUAGUAUAGUAUGUCGUCCAAAAUCAGUCAAAAAAGUCAGAGUUUAGUAUGUGGUCCAAAAUCUGUCAAAAAGUCAUAGGAUAGUAUGUCGUCCAAAAUCAGUCAAAAAAGUCAGAGUUUAGUAUGUGGUCCAAAAUCAGUCAAAAAGUCAUAGUAUAGUAUGUUGUCCAAAAUCAGUCCAAAAAGUCAUAGUAUAGUAUGUCGUCCAAAAUCAGACAAAAAGUCAUAGUAUAGUAUGUCGUCCAAAAUCAGUCAAAAAAGUCAGAGUUUAGUAUGUGGUCCAAAAUCAGUUCAAAAAGUCAUAGUAUAGUAUGUCGUCCAAAAUCAGUUCAAAAAGUCAGAGUAUAGUAUGUCGUCCAAAAUCAUUCAAAAAGUCAGAGUAUAGUAUGUCGUCCAAAAUCAGACAAAAAGUCAUAGUAUAGUAUGUUGUCCAAAAUCAGUUUAAAAAGUCAGAGUAUAGUAUGUCGUCCAAAAUCAGUUUAAAAAGUCAGAGUAUACUAUGUCGUCCAAAAUCAGACAAAAAGUCAUAGUAUAGUAUGUUGUCCAAAAUCAGUCCAAAAAGUCAGAGUAUAGUAUGUCGUCCAAAAUCAGACAAAAAGUCAUAGUAUAGUAUGUCGUCCAAAAUCAG